rnacentral:rRNA from 1 species
GACGAACGCUGGCGGCGUGCCUAAUACAUGCAAGUAGAACGCUGAAGGAGGAGCUUGCUUCUUCGGAUGAGUUGCGAACGGGUGAGUAACGCGUAGGUAACCUGCCUGGUAGCGGGGGAUAACUAUUGGAAACGAUAGCUAAUACCGCAUAACAGUAGAUGUUGCAUGACAUUUGCUUAAAAGGUGCAAUUGCAUCACUACCAGAUGGACCUGCGUUGUAUUAGCUAGUUGGUGGGGUAACGGCUCACCAAGGCGACGAUACAUAGCCGACCUGAGAGGGUGAUCGGCCACACUGGGACUGAGACACGGCCCAGACUCCUACGGGAGGCAGCAGUAGGGAAUCUUCGGCAAUGGACGGAAGUCUGACCGAGCAACGCCGCGUGAGUGAAGAAGGUUUUCGGAUCGUAAAGCUCUGUUGUAAGAGAAGAACGAGUGUGAGAGUGGAAAGUUCACACUGUGACGGUAUCUUACCAGAAAGGGACGGCUAACUACGUGCCAGCAGCCGCGGUAAUACGUAGGUCUCGAGCGUUGUCCGGAUUUAUUGGGCGUAAAGCGAGCGCAGGCGGUUAGAUAAGUCUGAAGUUAAAGGCUGUGGCUUAACCAUAGUACGCUUUGGAAACUGUUUAACUUGAGUGCAAGAGGGGAGAGUGGAAUUCCAUGUGUAGCGGUGAAGUGCGUAGAUAUAUGGAGGAACACCGGUGGCGAAAGCGGCUCUCUGGCUUGUAACUGACGCUGAGGCUCGAAAGCGUGGGGAGCAAACAGG